rnacentral:rRNA from 1 species
GUCUAUGGCCAUGCUACCCUGAACAAGCCCAAUCUCGUGUGAUCUUGGAAGCUAAGCAGAGUUGGGCCUGGUUAGUACUUUGAUGGGAGACCACCUAGGAAGACCAGGUGCUGUAGAUG